ACGGAAGGCAGCAGUGGGGAAUAUUGCACAAUGGGCGCAAGCCUGAUGCAGUGAUGCCGCGUGAGGGAAGAAGGUUUUCGGAUUGUAAACCUCUGUCAACAGGGACGAAAAUGACGGUACCUGUGAAGGAAGCUCCGGCUAAAUACGUGCCAGCAGCCGCGGUAAUACGUAUGGUGCAAGCGUUAUCCGGAUUUACUGGGUGUAAAGGGAGCGUAGACGGCAUAGCAAGCCAGAUGUGAAAUGCGGGGGCUCAACCCCUGAACUGCAUUUGGAACUGUUAAGCUAGAGUAUCGGAGAGGUAAGUGGAAUUCCUAGUGUAGCGGUGAAAUGCGUAGAUAUUAGGAGGAACACCAGUGGCGAAGGCGGCUUACUGGACGAUAACUGACGUUGAGGCUCGAAAGCGUGGGGAGCAAACAGGAUUAGAUACCCUGGUA
rnacentral:rRNA from 1 species